GUCAACAACCCAUCUCAGACAAAACCUCCCCUUAAAGCCCGAUCCCCUUCUUCACCUCACUCUCUCUCUCUCUCUCUCUCUCUCUCUCUCUGUGAAAGAUUCAAAGAUCUAAUCUUUUCUUUUUACAAUGGAGGCCCUUUAUUCCUCUGCUUCUACUUGUUCUUGUUCUUCAUCUCUUCCUUUAUGCCCAGUCAACUUCUCCCGCGCGUCCCUCAAGACCCCUCGAACUUUCGCUUUUCCCAGUUGCAUCAGAAAACACACUCAUGUCACGACAGCCUCUUUGGCAAUCGAGCAGCAGUCCGAAAAUCCCAAACUCGCUCUAAUCAAAAUUGGCACCAGAGGAAGCCCACUAGCUCUUGCUCAAGCUUAUCAAACUAAAGACAAGCUCAUUGCAUCGCAUCCCCACUUAGCUGAAGAGGGGGCAAUUCAAAUCGUCAUUAUCAAAACUACUGGUGAUAAGAUACUAAGCCAACCCCUGGCCGACAUCGGCGGCAAGGGAUUGUUCACCAAGGAAAUCGAUGAGGCAUUGAUAAACGGUGACAUUGACAUUGCUGUACACUCCAUGAAAGAUGUACCUACUUAUUUACCGGACAAGACAAUUUUGCCUUGUAACCUUCCCCGUGAGGAUGUUCGUGAUGCAUUUAUAUGCUUAACUGCAUCUUCACUAGCAGAACUGCCAGCUGGGAGUGUUAUUGGUACUGCAUCGCUUAGAAGAAAGUCGCAGAUACUCCAUAGAUAUCCAUUGCUUAAAGUAGAGGAGAACUUUCGGGGUAAUGUCCAGACUAGGUUAAAGAAACUUAAUGAGAAGGUAGUCCAAGCUACCUUAUUGGCGUUAGCUGGGCUGAAACGCCUGAAUAUGGCGGAAAAUGUAACUUCGAUUCUCUCACUGGAUGAAAUGCUUCCAGCUGUCGCCCAAGGGGCAAUUGGAAUUGCCUGCCGGAGCAAUGACGAUAAAAUGGCUGAAUAUAUUGCCAAAUUGAAUCAUGAAGAAACAAGACUAGCAGUUGCAUGUGAGAGGGCAUUUCUUUUGACCCUGGAUGGGUCUUGCCGAACUCCUAUUGCUGGAUAUGCCAGCAAAGAUGCCGAUGGUAACUGCAUAUUCAAAGGCUUGGUGGCUUCCCCUGAUGGAACCCGCGUACUAGAGACGUCUAGGAAAGGUCGGUAUGCUUAUAAAGAGAUGAUGGAGAUAGGUAAGGAUGCAGGGCAAGAACUUCUUAAACAGGCAGGUCCUGGCUUCUUUGGUUGUUAAAGUGAAGAAGACUGACAGAAUAGUAGGGAAAAGAAAGCAGCGGGAACCAACGGUUUCUCCCCCUCUGUAUCGAAUUAUUGGCCACCAACAUGAACAAGAGUAGUCAGAGACUCCUAGUGAAAACUGGAACUUAAUGACCUGCUCCUUUAGUUGUCACAAACAUAAGCCCGUCAUCAUCAGCAACUGUCACCAGCCCACCUACGAAUUUUGCAAACAGUAAUCAGUUUGUCAGGACAUAUCUAUGCAAAUAAUAAGAGUACCUGCUACGAUUGAUAUGGAGGGAGGCGAAGGGCCGGUGAUUAAGUUACCUGUUUGCUAUUGUACCAUGGAGUCCAGUCUUGCUUGAUCUUCAAUCCCAGUUUCUUCAAUGCAUAUCUAGUUGAUGUCACCGGAGCUCUGCCAUCAGUAUCACCACUGCAGAUACAUGUAUUCAGAGUACAUAUAUGUCAGCUAGAACAACACUUUGAUCAUUGAAGUGAAAGGAGUAAAUGUAUGUGACUGUGUACAUACCUGUAACCCAGAUUCCGAGACCCCCUUCUACAAGCUUUCGAUCAAGGGAAGAAAUGACGGUAGUGCAUCCUUCCAGAAGGUGAUGUGAUCGCUGCAGUGAGUCCAAGUAUAGGGAAUGGCGGUGACAUUGGCAUGCAGUGCCUUUUGGACUUCUGAAUUAUUGAAGUAAUAAUAAGUGUAAUCUGAUGCACAAGGGUCAUACCCUUCUGGUCUCUUGUGCCGUCCUUCCUACAUAUACAUAUAUUCACGGUAACUAGUUAUGCUAGUGUGACUCACAGCUCUGGAAAACAAAGCGGGAGUGCCUUCAAUGGCGCGGAAGUGUACAACCUGUACAUGUCUAUGAUUUUGUACACCUUAAAAGUUAAUUACACACUUUGGAUAUGUUUUACUCACUGAAGUUGCAUUCUCUCCUAAUGUCACUGUACAGCCUAUCAGAAAUCACUGGGUGAUCCUACG